CUCCGCCCCAGAGCGGCCCGCGGUGCGCGCGCUCUCGCUAGGGGUCCCGCACGGAAGACGCGGGCGGGAGGGCGACACGCGCCCCAGGCCGGAGGCUGGCCUUGUGGCCUCCCCUUGGGGGCGGUGUGCAGACGCAGGAGCCGAGCCGUGCCCCUGGGUGGUAGAUGGCAGAGUCCGACCCACGCCACCGACUCCCGCGUUCCCCCGGCGCUUCAGGCCCCUCCGUGAGGGAAACCUAGCUGUGGACGGUGGGAUCAACUGAUUUUUGGAAACAGCCUAAGGACUCCUGAGACAGGUCAGUGCCUCUCAAUGCAGCUGCCUCUGUGUGACUCUCUACCCGAUACCUUGCUGUAGAGGAACCGCUGCAGCUCCAGUUCAGCAAUUCCAAGCUGUCCAUCUUCCUCUGUCAGGCACC